UACGUAGGGUGCAAGCGUUGUCCGGAAUUAUUGGGCGUAAAGAGCUCGUAGGCGGUUUGUCGCGUCGGAUGUGAAAAUCCAGGGCUCAACCCUGGACCUGCAUUCGAUACGGGCAGACUAGAGUUCGGUAGGGGAGACUGGAAUUCCUGGUGUAGCGGUGAAAUGCGCAGAUAUCAGGAGGAACACCGGUGGCGAAGGCGGGUCUCUGGGCCGAAACUGACGCUGAGGAGCGAAAGCGUGGGGAGCAAACAGG
rnacentral:rRNA from 1 species